rnacentral:rRNA from 1 species
UACAGAGGUGGCAAGCGUUGUUCGGAAUUACUGGGCGUAAAGGGCGCGUAGGCGGCCUUCUAAGUCAGACGUGAAAUCCCCCGGCUUAACCUGGGAACUGCGUCUGAUACUGGAAGGCUUGAAUCCGGGAGAGGGAUGCGGAAUUCCAGGUGUAGCGGUGAAAUGCGUAGAUAUCUGGAGGAACACCGGUGGCGAAGGCGGCAUCCUGGACCGGCAUUGACGCUGAGGAGCGAAAGCCAGGGGAGCAAACGGG